rnacentral:rRNA from 2 species
GCGGCGUGCCUAAUACAUGCAAGUCGAACGCACUCUCGUUUAGAUUGAAGGAGCUUGCUCCUGAUUGAUAAACAUUUGAGUGAGUGGCGGACGGGUGAGUAACACGUGGGUAACCUGCCCUAAAGUGGGGGAUAACAUUUGGAAACAGAUGCUAAUACCGCAUAAAACCUAACACCGCAUGGUGUAGGGUUGAAAGAUGGUUUCGGCUAUCACUUUAGGAUGGACCCGCGGUGCAUUAGUUAGUUGGUGAGGUAAAGGCUCACCAAGACCGUGAUGCAUAGCCGACCUGAGAGGGUAAUCGGCCACACUGGACUGAGACACGGCCCAGACUCCUACGGGAGGCAGCAGUAGGGAAUCUUCCACAAUGGACGAAAGUCUGAUGGAGCAACGCCGCGUGAGUGAAGAAGGUUUUCGGAUCGUAAAACUCUGUUGUUGGAGAAGAAUGUAUCUGAUAGUAACUGAUCAGGUAGUGACGGUAUCCAACCAGAAAGCCACGGCUAACUACGUGCCAGCAGCCGCGGUAAUACGUAGGUGGCAAGCGUUGUCCGGAUUUAUUGGGCGUAAAGCGAGCGCAGGCGGUUUCUUAAGUCUGAUGUGAAAGCCUUCGGCUCAACCGAAGAAGUGCAUCGGAAACUGGGAAACUUGAGUGCAGAAGAGGACAGUGGAACUCCAUGUGUAGCGGUGAAAUGCGUAGAUAUAUGGAAGAACACCAGUGGCGAAGGCGGCUGUCUGGUCUGUAACUGACGCUGAGGCUCGAAAGCAUGGGUAGCAAACAGGAUUAGAUACCCUGGUAGUCCAUGCCGUAAACGAUGAGUGCUAGGUGUUGGAGGGUUUCCGCCCUUCAGUGCCGCAGCUAACGCAUUAAGCACUCCGCCUGGGGAGUACGACCGCAAGGUCGAAACUCAAAGGAAUUGACGGGGGCCCGCCACCAAGCGGUGGAGCAUGGUGGUUUAAUUCGAAGCAACGCGAAGAACCUUACCAGGUCUUGACAUCCUUUGACCACUCUAGAGAUAGAGCUUUCCCUUCGGGGACAAAGUGACAGGUGGUGCAUGGUUGUCGUCAGCUCGUGUCGUGAGAUGUUGGGUUAAGUCCCGCAACGAGCGCAACCCUUAUUACUAGUUGCCAGCAUUUAGUUGGGCACUCUAGUGAGACUGCCGGUGACAAACCGGAGGAAGGUGGGGACGACGUCAAAUCAUCAUGCCCCUUAUGACCUGGGCUACACACGUGCUACAAUGGAUGGUACAACGAGUCGCGAGACCGCGAGGUUUAGCUAAUCUCUUAAAACCAUUCUCAGUUCGGAUUGUAGGCUGCAACUCGCCUACAUGAAGCCGGAAUCGCUAGUAAUCGCGGAUCAGCAUGCCGCGGUGAAUACGUUCCCGGGUC